GAGGGUGUAGCUCACUAGUAGAGCGUGUGCUUAGCAUGCAUGAGGUCUUGGGUUCAAUCCCCAGGACCUCCU
rnacentral:tRNA from 1 species